GUACCAAAAACCGACGGCCGGUUCUGCCGGUCUCACUCUUGGUGACUCUGAAUAAAGUAGCGGAUCGCACGGCCUUGCGCCGGCGACGGACCAUUCAAGUGUCUGCCCUAUCAGCUUUCGAUGGUAAGUGACCUGCUUACCAUGGCUUUCACGGGUAACGGGGAAUCAGAGUUCGAUUCCGGAGAGGGAGCAUGAGAAACGGCUACCACUUCCAAGGAAGGCAGCAGGCGCGCAAAUUACCCAAUCCCGACACGGGGAGGUAGUGACGAAAAAUAACAAUGCCGCCCUCUGCGAGGGAGGUAAUUGGAAUGAGCACAAUUUACAAACCUUAGCGAGGAUCUAUUGGAGGGCAAGUCUGGCGCCAGCAGCCGCGGUAAUUCCAGCUCCAAUAGCGUAUAUUAAAGUUGUUGCAGUUAAAAAGCUCGUAGUUGGAUCUCAGGAGCGAGAGGCGCGGCUGGGCGCGGCCUUCGCGCAAGCGGGGUCGUCGUUCCGGCCAGCCUGAAUCGUUCCCUCCGCAKGCUCUCCGGUCGUGCUAUUAGCUUAGUGCGGCCGGCAGGUCUGCYGCUUACUUUGAAG
rnacentral:rRNA from 1 species